AGUUGUACUGUUUUCUGGUGCGGAGGACCGGGAAUAAAUUCAAUGCAGUGAUACUGAAGAGGCUUUUCAUGAGCAAGAUCAACAAGCCACCUCUAUCUCCCUCCAAGUUGAUUCGUUACAUGGAGGGCAAGGAGGGUAAGAUUGCUGUGGUUGUUGGGACCGUGACCAAUGACAUUAGGGUGUAUGAGGUCCCAA